UACGUAGGGGGCAAGCGUUGUCCGGAAUUAUUGGGCGUAAAGCGCGCGCAGGCGGCUAUUUAAGUCUGGUGUAUAACCUCGGGGCUUAACCCCGGGUCGCACUGGAAACUGGACAGCUUGAGUGCAGAAGAGGAGAGUGGAAUUCCACGUGUAGCGGUGAAAUGCGUAGAGAUGUGGAGGAACACCAGUGGCGAAGGCGACUCUCUGGGCUGUAACUGACGCUGAGGCGCGAAAGCGUGGGGAGCAAACA
rnacentral:rRNA from 1 species